rnacentral:lncRNA from 7 species
GAAUUUCUUCCUAAUAUCUAGUCUAAAUCUGCCCUCUUCCAGUUUAAAGCCUUUCCCCCUUGUCCUGUGACACUGUUUAUGAUACAUGGUAUUUAUUGUUAUUUGUCUACAGAUCUUCUCACCACUGUCUCACCAGGUGUUGUGGAGAUAGUGUAAAAUAAGGAAGAAGGGCAAAAAAUAGUGCAGAUGAUUUGCUCUUGAACUCUUGACUUUCAGCAGCUGCAUUUUAAAACUACCGUUCCAUUUUGCUGCACUGGAAGAUCUCAGCACAAUUUUACCAGAAAAAAAUUGCACUAAGAAGCUUUUGAAGACAAAAUUUAUGUUUUUCACUUCAAAAUCAUAUAUACUAGGAAACUUUCUAAAUGGAUCCUAUGAAGAAUAUGGGAUGGGAAUUCAUAUAUUUUAACAGGAGCAGGCUUCUCUGACAGGGCAAAGUUUUUUUUCCCUCUCUUCUAUUGACAUAAGCCUUAAUCAUUCUAAAGUGGUUUUGAAACCUGACGACAGUGUGCUCUGGGGGAAAAUAAUUUUGUGGAAGGGAUAUGGGACACACUAUAAACUUCAGACUGCAUCUAAGUGGUUUCUGGCACUAUGGAAGUGAAAUAAAUGUACAACAGCAGUCUCAUGGCUCUUUGCACCAUGUUAAGAAGAUUGCAUUCUUUAUCAUAUAUCUGUGGCUUCCUGCAUCCUUUUAAAAAGUUCCUUGUGAAGAACAGUUGCAUGGAAAUCACAGAAUUGCAAGGGUUGGAGAUCAUGGGCUUUAUGAAGGAAUUGACCAUCUAUCUAGAAGAGAGAAGAAUGAAAAGGAUCAAAAUACCUUCUGACAGCUACUUAUCUUGUAAAAAAGUACAAAUCUUCUGUUUUUUCUUUUUCCUUAUUUUUCAGUGUUUAAGUAAUAGAAAUUAAAGUUACUUAAGGUCUUGAU